rnacentral:rRNA from 1 species
CCUACGGGUGGCAGCAGUGAGGAAUAUUGGUCAAUGGCCGUAAGGCUGAACCAGCCAAGUAGCGUGAGGGAAGACUGCCCUAUGGGUUGUAAACCUCUUUUAUGCGGGGGUAACGGUGGCCACGUGUGGAUGUUUGCAGGUACCGCAUGAAUAAGGACCGGCUAAUUCCGGUCCAGCAUCCGCGGUAAUACGGAAGGUCCGGUCGUUAUCCGGAUUUAUUGGGUUUAAAGGGAGCUGAGGCCGGUCUUUAAGCGUGCCGUGAAAUUUUGUGGCUCAACCAUGAGAGUGCGGCGCGAACUGGCGACCUUGAGUGCGCGGAAGGCAGGCGGAAUUCGUGGUGUAGCGGUGAAAUGCUUAGAUAUCACGAAGAACCCCGAUUGCGAAGGCAGCAUGCCGGAGCGUUACUGACGCUGAAGCUCGAAAGCGUGGGUAUCGAACAGGAUUAGAUACCCGUGUAGUC